rnacentral:lncRNA from 1 species
UGACACUUCAGUUCGGUUAUGUGGGGAAGGGGAAACUAGAUAUCAUGCUUAUGCCCAGUCAUAUAUAAUAUAUAUAUAUAUAUAUAUACACUCGACCCUAAAAGAGUAACUUCUAUUUUGUCACAAAUCUGGAGGGUAGGGUUAUUUCCUCUAAGUUCUAUCUACGACUCACUCAGGUCACAUAUCGUACCGUGUUUCUAUGUCUGUGAUGCGGAGUGUCUGAGAGGGUUCAUUGAGUCUCUACUGAGAGUGGCAUCCCACAGAACUGCCCUCGUCUGCCAAACUCUCCACUCUAAAAGGCUUGCAAAACUCCCACAAGAGAGAUUCAGCAUUCUUACUGAGGAUGGCUUGUUUGGAGCCUGAGGUCAGUAUGCACUGUUAGUCAUUGUUUCCAGUCACUCUGGCCCAGGGAUGACAUGGAAACACAACCUGCUGGUCUCUGAACACAAGGUAUUAUUUGACUUUAUACAUUCCCUGUGACCUCUUGUAUUACUCACUUUGUGCUAUUACUGUUGGUCAUCUGUUUCUAUUACUGUGGCAUCUACAGUACCAGUCAAAAGUUUAGGGUAAGAAGAAUUUUUUUUGUUGUUGAUAGUUGAACGAAAUUCUUUCUUUCGGUGAAAGUGACAGGAAUUUUUUUUUUUUUACUUUCUAUGCAUUAAAUAAUCACAAAAAAACAUCACCGUUUCCACAGAAAUAUCAAGCAGCAGAACUUUUUUUUUUUUCAACAUUGAUAAGAAUAAGACAUGUUUUUUUUUGAGCAGCAAAUCAUCAUAUUAGAAUGUUUUCUGAAGGAUCAUGUGACACUGAAGACUGGAGUAAUGAUGCUGAAAAUUACAUUUUAAAUGUAAUACAAUAGAAAGGUUUUUACUGUACUUCUGGUCAAAUAAAUGCAGCCUCGAUUAGCAUAAGAGACUUUCUUUCAAAAUAUAUGUACAUAAAAAAAACUCUUUUGUACAGUAGUGUAACUUUUGAAAUGUAACAUGACGUGUGAUUUGAUCCCUUAAAUUUGUGCUUUUCUAAGUGGCCAGAUUAUAUCAAAACACGCUAGCAACCACCUAGAUAGUCUUUUUUGACAAAGCAUCCGAUAAAUGAAUAAAUGUUAAUGUGGUGGUUUUUCCUUUUUCAGAAAAUGCAAAAAUCUAGUUUCUUAGUAGAACAUUGGCUGCAUCUUUAAUCGAAUGCAUUUGCUGUUAGCAACCAUUAUUUAUAAACUUUGACCUAAUAGUGUACCUCAGUUGUGGUUAUUUAUAGACGUUUGAGAGAGAGAGCUGCCUUGUGAUUGUAACCGGUUCUCGUAUUGGGAAAUCAUAUUGACUCACUGACCUGUUUUGACUACACAGUUUUGUCUUGGUUUUGUGUGUAGGCCGAGCAGUGAGCUAAAUCAGGGACG